rnacentral:rRNA from 1 species
CGCGUGAGAAUCUAGCUUCAGGUCGGGGAUAACAGUGGGAAACGACUGCUAAUACCGGAUGUGCCGAAAGGUGAAAGGCUUGCUGCCUGAAGAUGAGCUCGCGUCUGAUUAGCUAGUUGGUGUGGUAAGAGCGCACCAAGGCGACGAUCAGUAGCUGGUCUGAGAGGAUGAUCAGCCACACUGGGACUGAGACACGGCCCAGACUCCUACGGGAGGCAGCAGUGGGGAAUUUUCCGCAAUGGGCGAAAGCCUGACGGAGCAAUACCGCGUGAGGGAGGAAGGCUCUUGGGUUGUAAACCUCUUUUCUCAAGGAAUAAGUUCUGAAGGUACUUGAGGAAUAACAUCGGCUAACUCCGUGCCAGCAGCCGCGGUAAUACGGAGGAUGCAAGCGUUAUCCGGAAUGAUUGGGCGUAAAGCGUCCGCAGGUGGCUAUGUAAGUCUGCUGUUAAAGAGCAAAGCUUAACUUUGUAAAAGCAGUGGAAACUACAUAGCUAGAGUGCGUUCGGGGUAGAGGGAAUUCCUGGUGUAGCGGUGAAAUGCGUAGAGAUCAGGAAGAACACCGGUGGCGAAGGCGCUCUACUAGGCCGCAACUGACACUGAGGGACGAAAGCUAGGGGAGCGAAUGGGAUUAGAUACCCC